UCUCCGUAGGUGAACCUGCGGAGGGAUCAUUACAGAGUUCAUGCCCUACCGGGUAGAUCUCCCACCCUAUGUUAUUAUUACUUUGUUGCUUUGGCGGGCCGUUAGGCUCCGGCCCGACUACCGGCCCCGGCUGGUAGGCGCCCGCCAGAGGACCCAAAACCCUGAAUAUUAGUGUCGUCUGAGUACUAUAUAAUAGUUAAAACUUUCAACAACGGAUCUCUUGGCUCUG
rnacentral:misc_RNA from 1 species